AAAAAAAAAAAAAAAAAAAAAAAAGAAAGAAAGAAAGGAGGUGUGAAGAGAAGGAAUCAGAGAGGAAAAAAGAAGAGAAAGAGGAAAAGCACACAGAGCAGCGAAUAUCAGUCUUGAGAAAGCCCUAAGGACUGGUCACUGUAAAAGAGAAGUCACUGCUUAUAGAGUACCCACAAUACAAUCAAACAGUCAGAUGGUGACAGAGACUGACUAAGUGAAACCUGCCCUAAGCGUGCACCCAAGAGACCAACAGAAAUCAAUCGUCUUGCAGAGGUAGGUGGCUAUACAUAAAAGCUGAGAAAAAUCAUACUGGAAGCCAUGGGAACACUUUUAAGUGGAAAAAUUGAGGGUUGCCUACUGCAGAUGCCCUUGCUACUGCAUGUACGUGUGUGCACCUGAAUCACGGAGACUGAGAGACAGGGGAAGAGAAAGAACAAGAAGAAGGAAAAAUGAAAAGGCAGAAAAAGAUAAAUCACUAGAGACAUGCAGAUGCAAAACCAUAAAGGUUAUAUUAAAUUAUUUUGAGCUUUUUGUACAACUUACAUAAUUCAGAAGUAGAAGAAAAUAAAGCCAUAAUUUAUGCACAGUUCUCCCCAGCAAGUAAUAAAAAGAAGUUAUUUUUACAUCUCCCUAUAUUGAUUGUAUUUUUAGAACACUUUCUAAAAUAGGUGGAGAAUUCAAUCCUACUCUCUGAGGCAUGUCAAUUUAUGCCCACAUAGUGGAUAGAAAGAUUGAACCCUAAGUGCAGAUCAUGACAUUCUGCUGUGAUAAAAGCUGUUUCUGUUUGCUUUAACAUGCAUGCAUAGUGGUGAAUGCCACCUGUGACACAUUGGGAUAAGUAUAACUAUCUCUAUCACAUCCAGUGAUUGCAAUACGUUGAAAGUUGUUUCUGAAAGUUACCUGAUUCUCUCUGCUUGGAUAAGUUGAUUUUCUUCAAGAAUUUUAAGACAGGCGAAGGCAUAGAUAGAUACGAAUAAAUUUCACUUGCCAGGAGGUUGUUUUUCGGAACAAGAUAUAAAUUAACAAAAAAAUAAUACAUGCCUAAACAGAAAGUCAGUCAGUUAUCUGUGUAGGCAUGUGCUUGUUUCUAACCCUGUUCUGAAAAAACUUCCAACUCUUGCUUAGAUCCUUCUUAAGUGCCUGCAGGCUUUCCUUAAUCAGCUCCAUGUUAAAUACCCAUCCUCCCUACUGCUUCCCUCAGGUAUUUUUAUGUAAGUAAGGACACGUAUACGUUAGUAAUUAAGAUCUGGAUAGAAAACCAUCCUUUGGUCUAUUCUGUUCAUUGCCUCCGAGACGUUAGACUUUCCUUGCACCAUCAGAUGCACUUGUUCCUAUGAUAAAUUAAAUCAGUAUGGCUGUGAAGACAGACUCCGAAAUUGCCAGAACUUUUUGAAUGAAUGAAAAUCAGAUUGCUCAGGAAGACUAAAUGUGUCUCACAAUAUUAUAUUGGCAGAGAUGAGGACUAUAACAUUUUCAUGCUAUCAGUGGCAUGAUUGUGUGGUGUGGAAACGGGGAGAGGGCAGCAGAGCAGCAUACUACCUUCCCAUGAGCGCUGUUGCCACUUUCCCAACUAUUCCUUCAUCCUCCAG
ensembl:lncRNA